rnacentral:rRNA from 1 species
GAUGAACGCUGGCGGCGUGCCUAAUACAUGCAAGUCGAGCGAACAGACGAGGAGCUUGCUCCUCUGACGUUAGCGGCGGACGGGUGAGUAACACGUGGAUAACCUACCUAUAAGACUGGGAUAACUUCGGGAAACCGGAGCUAAUACCGGAUAAUAUAUUGAACCGCAUGGUUCAAUAGUGAAAGACGGUUUUGCUGACACUUAUAGAUGGAUCCGUGCCGCAUUAGCUAGUUGGUAAGGUAACGGCUUACCAAGGCAACGAUGCGUAGCCGACCUGAGAGGGUGAUCGGCCACACUGGAACUGAGACACGGUCCAGACUCCUACGGGAGGCAGCAGUAGGGAAUCUUCCGCAAUGGGCGAAAGCCUGACGGAGCAACGCCGCGUGAGUGAUGAAGGUCUUCGGAUCGUAAAACUCUGUUAUUAGGGAAGAACAAAUGUGUAAGUAACUAUGCACGUCUUGACGGUACCUAAUCAGAAAGCCCCGGCUAACUACGUG